rnacentral:lncRNA from 1 species
GCUCUCCUUCCCUUUUGUAAGCCUGAAUAAUAUACUUCACCUAUAAGUGGCUGGAAAUGGCUUGAUCAUAGUGUAAAAAAUGUUAUUCUCAGGUAUCUUAUGGAGAAUAUGUCAAUCUAGUUGGUGAAAUGGAAGGAAGAGAUGUAUGUACUCAACAUCAAUUAAUUUAAGAUUUAGCUUCAUUAAGCACUCACUUAUUGUUAAGGGCAUAACCACAUGAUAUUUUAUUGCCAAGUAAAACAUAGAUUUAUAUUAAAAUGCAAUAGCAGAUAUAUAAUCUAGUAGUUUCUUGAACACAUUUCCAGUCUCAGAGAAAUAUAAUAAGGUUUAGAAUAUAGUGUACUACCUGCUUCACCCUUAGUGUGGGUUAGGAUAUUAGGGUACAGAACUGAAAAUUUUGGGGUGAAAUUUUAUCAUUACCUUGUAGGGGAUUGUUAGUUAUUACAGAAAGAGGGUUAAGAAUAGACAGUGAAUGUGAUGUAGUGUGAACAGGUAUAGAAAAGUCAACAAAGGUUGGCUAUAGUUUUAGAGGGAAAUAGUUAGGCUGUUAUAACUGCCUCAACAGGCCCGGAAAGUGAGAAUAAAAAGGGGAAGCCACUCUUGUGUUCAGUAUGCUAUUUUUUCAAGAAUCAAUACAACUCUCUCUCACUCUCUCUCGCUCUUCUCUCUCUUCCUCUCGCUCUUCUCUCUCUUCUAUCUUCUCUCCUAAAUUCUGUUCUCCUUUCUCUAAAUUCUCUCUGUUAGGUUCCUAACCUUACAAUUGGUAUCAAAGCCUGUGUUGGAUUGAAUCGCAAAGGUUGAUACUGCCAUAGUCAGUCAAGGAGUGUGCUGGCCGAGAUCGAGGAGCAAUUCAGAGCCUUCCAGUCGCAAUUUCAAGGAUCAAGAAAAGAAGUAGAAGUACUCCAAUCAGAAUUCAAGAACCUACAAGUUGGAGUUAAAUAUGACAUGGAUGGUGUGAAGAAGGAAAUUCAAGAAACAAAGAAUUCUGUAACUUGGAGAAUUCCAUUGAUGAGGUAAAGGUUUUGGUGAUAGGAAUGAAUGCUACAAUGAUGAAGGCCAAUUCCAAUGGCUCCCAAGGAGACAAUGGAGUGCAAAACUCAGGAAUUCUGCCAUUUCCCAAAGAAUCAAGUUCUCAGCAGGGCAGAGAUCUUGCGCUAAGAGCUGAAUUUGGAAGUGCAGGUUUAUGAAAAAGAUUAUUCCUAAAGUUGAACUGAGUUCUUAUGAUGGCAUUGAACCGAGAGAAUGGAUUAGAAAAUGCCUUAAAAAUUUUCAAGUUUGUGAUGUUUCAAGGGAAAAAAUGGUAGAAAUGGCUAGUUUGUGUCUAGUGGAUAGGACUGAUGCAUGGUUUAAUAACCGGAAUAGAGGAAAUCAAAAUCCAUCCCGGGAACAAUUUGAAGAAGCCUUAGGGAAAAGAUUUAGGGACCUAAGGGUUGAGGAUAUUGUGGAGGAAGAAGCCUUAUGGAAAAGAUUUAGGGACCUAGGGGUUGAGGAUACUGUGGAGGAAUUUAUGAGAUUGAUGCAAGAAGGCAGUAUAGAGAAGUACCAAGACAGACUUGAGAAUAUCAGGGUUAGAAUGGAAAGGGUGUUGCCUGAGUUAGGGGAAUCCUAUUUCCUUUCAGGAUUUAUUGAAGGAUUAAGGGAUGAAAUAAAGCCAAUGGUGAAGAUGUUGAGACAUAUUGAUUUAACUCAUGCGAUUGAGGAAGCAAGAUUGCAAGAAAUGUUACUGUUAAGUACAAGCAAGGGCCCGUACACUACCAAAACCCCUUAUUCUCAAACAAAGCCUAUCACCAACAAUUAUAAUUCCUUUAAAACAUCCCAAUUGCAUAAGAAUUUUCCUUAUGUGACAAAGCCUCCAAAUGACAGCAUCUCAGUCAAUAAAACAACCAUUGCAAUCCCCAAGCCAGCAAACUCUAACCAAAGCUCUUCUAUCACUCAACUUGCAACUAAAUCCAACCAGCCAACUAGUAAUCUCAGCAUGAGGGUCCCAAGCCUUGUUUCAGUUGUGGAGAAAAGUACUUAUGUGGCCACCAAUGUAAGCCAAGUCUGUUAUGUUAUUACAGGCUGAUCAUCAAGUUUCAGAAGGCAUGGAGAAAGAAGAAACUGAAGUGGCAGCGAACCUGGAAGAACCAGAAGGAGAGCAGGACAUUACUGUGUCUGUAUAGAAGGAAAGCAAGGUGUGAACGCCAUUAGGCUGAUUGGGAGCUAUAAGGACAACCAACUCAUGAUUCUGGUAGACAGUGGAAGCACAAACAGUUUCAUUGAUGAGAAAGUGGCCAAGAUCUUGAAACUGCCACUAAUGCAAGUCCCUUUGGCUCCCAUAAUCACAACAUACCUUUAGUACCAAGAACUAGCCUAUUAAUGUUAGGCCAUGUAGAUACCCCCAUUGCUAGAAAAAUGAGAUAGAAACACUGGUCUCUAAGAUGCUAGAAUCUAGAGUAAUUUAACCAAGUACUAGUCUUUUUUGCUCUCCAGUUUUACUAGUUAAAAAGAAAGAUGGGUCUUAGAGAUUUUGCAUAGACUACGUGAAUUAAAUGAGGCUAUUGUCAAAAAUAAAUUUUCUAUCCCCAUAAUUGAUGAUUUGCUAGAUGAAUUACAUGGGACUGCUUGGUUUUCUAAGAUCGAUUGAGAGCUGGUUACCACCAAAUCAGGAUGGACACUCUUGAUAUUGCCAAGACACCCUUCAAAAAACACCAUGGUCAUUUUGAGUUCACUGGCAUGCCAUUUGAGCUAACAAAUGCACUUGCCACCUUUCAAGCUUUAAUGAAUCACAUCUUUCAACCUGAAAGUUUGUGUUGGUAUUCUUCGAUGACAUACUGAUUUACAAUAAAGAUAUAAAGAGCCAUUUAUAGCAUUUAGAGGCAGUCUUUCAAGUCCUCCAGUAGCAACAUCUCCUUGCAAAUAUGUCCAAGUGAUCUUUUGGCAGAAAUAAGGUGGAUUACUUGGGACACAUAACAGUGCAGAGGGUGUUGCAAUUGAUUCCACCAAGGUAGAAGCAAUGCUGAAUUGGCCAGCCCUUAGUUCUAUUAAAAAAUUGAGAAGCUUUUUAGACAGGCUAUUAUAGAAAGUUUGUGAAGGGAUAUGGAUUGAUCAGCAAGCCCUUGAUAGACUUGCUCAAGAAGGAGGGGUUCCAUUGGUCUCCAACUACACAGGGAGCCUUUGAUAGGCUCAGAAAUGCAAUGGCUUCUGCCCCUAUUUUAGCCCUACCAGAUUUUACUAAGGAAUUUGUGGUAGAAACUAACGCGAGCAGUGAAGGAAUAAAGGCUGUGUUACAGUAGGAUGGGCACCAUAUAGCUGUCAUCUCAAGGGCAUUCGGGGCUAGGAAUAAAGGACUUUUUAUAUAUGACAAGGAGUUAUUGGCAAUCACAUUUGUUGUGAGUAAAUGGAGGCAAUAUCUUGAGCAAGGAACCUUCUACAUCAAAAACCAUGAGAGUAUCAAAUACUUGUUAGAACAAAGGCUGCAUACUAACUUUCAGCAGAGGGGCAUUUCUAAAUUGCUGGGGCUAGAUUACAAGAUCCUUUGUGGCCGAUGCCCUCUCUAGACAAUUGGUCUCAGCAACCUCUCAAUUAUGUGCAACCUCUUCUGUGGUGGUCCUUACUUGGAGGUCCACACUUGCUGCUGAGAGUUACAACAAGGAUGCUAAGGCUGCACAUCUGAUUUCACAACUAUCCUUGGAUGCAAAUGCUGUACCUGGAUUUCAGUAUAAGCAAUGGUUGUUAUACUAUAAAGAUAGACACUAUGUCAGGUUAUUUGUUAAUUUGCAGCAGCAUCUUCUAGCUAUGUAUCAUAAUAGCCUUGAACAACACCUCUGUUGGCCUAAAUUGCACUCAUGUUUUGACGUGUGCAACAAUGUUCGGUGCAACUCAGGAACAGAGCCACUCAUGGGCCAAGGGGGCCAUGGACCCCCCUCAAAUUUUUGAAAUUUUUUAAGGGUAUAUAGGUAAUUUUUCUUAAAACAUGAAAAAUUAUUAUUAGAUCCCUACAUGUUUAAAAAAACUUACCAACUCAUCGUAUUUCAAAAUUAUUUAAUUAAAUCAUCAUUAUAUUUUGUAAGAUCAAACUCUUUAAUCUAUUUGUUAAAGAAAUUUUUACUAUUUAGUCCCUCAUCUUCUAUGUUAUUUUUCAAUCCAAAAAAUUUGUUUCUCAUUUUCAAAAUUUCAAGUUCACGUCUUCAUUUAAAUUUUUUCUUAGGUUAUUCAUUCAUUAUUUAAUUUUAUAUACCAUUUUUAUUAUUAAGUGGUAUUUUUUAUUUAUUUAUCUCACUUAGUUAUUAAUCUAUUUAAAUGAUUGAAAUUAUACAAAAAUAAAUUUUAAUGGGUUAGAAUUUUUUUUUUUUUUUUUUUAAUUUUCAAUAGUAAAUCAUGUAUUAAAAUAUUAUAUUAUUUUAAUAGUAUUUAUUUUUUUCUAUGGGUUUGCAUGUUACAACCAUAGCGAAAAGAAAUUUUUCUGCGGUAAUAAAUCAUAAAUAAUUGAUCGAUAACUGAUAUUGAAAGAUAUAUUUGCAAAUGCUGACAAUGAUAUUAUUAAGAAUAUAUUUUAAUCAAUGAAAAAUAGAUGAGAAUGACCAUGAUUUAAUUAUAAUAGUUUAUUCACUUUUUAUAAAAAUUUAUUUUUUGAAUACGUAUUUAUUUUAUACUCACUUUAUUCUAUAAUUUUUGUCCAUUUUGAUUUUUCAUACAUAUUAAAAAAGGCAAUUUGUUUUAUUGAUUUUCCAAUGAUACUAUUUUAAAAAUAUUAAACUUUAUUAAAUAUUAAGAAAUAUUUUGAAUACUUAUUUAGAAAAAUAAUAAUUAAUGAUAGGUUGAUUUGAAAUAACAUAAAAUUAAAUAGGAUUAUAAUAAUCAAUUAUGUUACUAUAAUAAAAGAAAGUGAACAAUAAUUUUGGAAAAAUAAUAAAAAAAAAUCGACAAAAUAAUAAAACAGAAGACAUUUAUUUAAAUUUGGCUCCCUUGAACUGAAUUUCUUCAUCCGGCACUGUCUGGACUCUUUUAGCCUCUUCUAGUGCCUUCUCAAGCUUGGCAACACAUCCAUGGAUUUUAUAGAGUAGCUACCUAAGUUAAGGGAAAAGGACAUCAUUCUAGUGGUGGUUUAUAGAUUCACUAAGUAUGGCCACUUCCUUUUCUCAACACAUCCCUUUAUUGCCUCCUCAAUAGCUAAAAUUUUCAUGGAGAAUAUUUACAAGCUACAUGGAGCUCUUGCCUCUAUUAUAUCAGACAUAGACAAACUUUUUACAAGUGUAUUUUGGAAGGAAUUCUUCAAGCAGAUAGGUGUUCCUCUGUCCUUUAGCAGUACCUAUCAUCCUCAAACGGAUGGUCAAAUAGAACGCAUGAACCAGUGCUUGGAGUGUUGCUUGAGGUGCAUGCUGCAGCAGCAGCAGUCAUCUUGGAGUGAAUGGUUGGCCCUUGGUGAAUGGUGGUACGAUUCUAGCUUCCACAGUGCCAUCAAAAUGUCACCCUUUGAAGCUUUGUAUGGUACAAACCACCUUCACUUCCAGGUACUAGAGCUGAUAAUUCACCAGUACAGGUUGUAGAAGAUCUUUUCCAGCAAAGGUAGCUGGUGCUCAGGCUAUUAAAGGAUAAUUUAGAACAGGUCGGGUGUCGAAUGAAGCAGUAAGCUGAUAAAAAGAGAAGUGAAAGGGAGUUCUAGGUGGGAGACUGGGUCUACUUGAAGCUUCAGCCAUACAAACAAACUUCAGUCGCCUUGAGGAAAAGCUUGAAAUUAGCAGCCAAGUAUCAUGAGCCAGUUUUUAUUGAGGAAAAAAUUGGGAAAGUGGCUUAUCAGCUCCAGCUACCUCCAUCCACAGCCAUACAUUCUGUCUUCUAUGUGUCCCUCCUCAAGAAAAAUUGGGGCAUAAUGUUGUGCCCCCAGUUACAGUUCCCCACCAUUGUAGAGGAAGAGGCUGUAGUAGCACCAAAAGACAUCCUUUAGCUAAGAACCAUUUCUAGGAAUGGCCAAUUGGUACUGCAGGACUCAUUAAAUGGACUAAUCUAGUCACUGAAGAUGCAACGUGGGAAGAUCAAGCUUUCAUUCAAGCUCAAUUUCCUGACUUUAAUGGGGGCAAGAAUGCUCUCUAGAGAAGGGUAUUGUUACAUAUUACAGAAAGAGGGUUAAGAGUAGAAAGUGAAUGUGAUGUAGUGUGAACAGGUAUAAAAAAGUCAACAAAGGUUGGCUGUAGUUUUGGAGGGAAAUAGUUAGGCAGUUGAGAAUAAAAAGCGGAAGCUACUCUUGUAUUCAGUAUGCUAUUUUUUUAAGAAUCAAUACAACUCUCUCUCUCUCUCUCUCUCUUCUAUCUUGUCUCUCAAAUUCUGUUCUCCUUUCUCUAUAUUCUCUCUGUUAGGUUCUUAACCUAACAGGGAUGUCUUGAGUUAGAUGGUUGUGAUUAUUACAUGUGGUGGUGGUAUC